CAAAAAAUACCUAUAGCGUUUUAUUUAACCUUAAUAAUAUGAUGACUUCUUUUUCCUACUACCCAGUCUUUAUCAUUGCGACGAUUUAUUUAUCCCUUAGUUCCUACAUAUCACAAUUUUUAUUGAUCAUCUUCUUAUCGCUGCUUUGUGAAAUGAGUAGCACGUCUCCCCAUGACUGUCACAAGUCGUCCAUAUGUUUAAUGCAACCAUCUCUUCCUUGUCCAUUUUCACUAAUACAUAUAUUGUGGUAACGCAAUGUGAUAAGACUUUUUUAACUGAUCUCAUGUUUCUUAUCUUCUACGAUAAUGCCUUCCCCA
rnacentral:lncRNA from 1 species